rnacentral:sRNA from 1 species
GCUGGGUGUAGUGGCACACACCUGUAAUCCCAGCAGCUCUGGAGGCUGAGGCAAGAGGAUCUCAAGUUCAAAUCUAGCCUCAG